rnacentral:rRNA from 1 species
CCCCAGCCUGCUAACUAGUCGGGCCAACUGCGGUUGGCUCCGACUUCUUAGAGGGACUAACAAUGUUUAAUUGUUUGAAGGGGGGCAAUAACAGGUCUGUGAUGCCCUUAGAUGUUCUGGGCUGCACGCGCGCUACACUGACAAAGUCAGCGAGUAUACAACCUUGACCGGAAGGUCUGGGCAAUCUUUUGAAACUUUGUCGUGCUGGGGAUAGACCAUUGCAAUUAUUGGUCUUCAACGAGGAAUUCCUAGUAAGCGCAUGUCAUCAGCAUGCGUUGAUUACGUCCCUGCCCUUUGUACACACCGCCCGUCGCUACUACCGAUUGAAUGGCUUAGUGAGGCUUUCGGAUUGGGGCUGGGCCGCAAGGCCUUGGCACCGAGAAGUUGGACAAACUUGGUCAUUUAGAGGAAGUAAAAGUCG